rnacentral:rRNA from 1 species
AGUCGAACGAGGUAGCAAUACCUAGUGGCAGACGGGUGAGUAACGCGUGGUCAACCUACCGUUGAGUGGGGGAUAACUAGCCGAAAGGUUAGCUAAUACCGCAUACGUCUAGCACGGCACCGUGCAAAGAUAAAAGCCGCAAGGCGCUCGAUGACGGGACCGCGUCCCAUUAGUUAGUUGGUGGGGUAAUGGCCUACCAAGACUCCGAUGGGUAGCUGGUUUGAGAGAGCGACCAGCCACACUGGGACUGAGAAACGGCCCAGACUCCUACGGGAGGCAGCAGUGAGGAAUUUUCCGCAAUGGGCGAAAGCCUGACGGAGCGACGCCGCGUGUGGGAAGAAGGCCUUCGGGUCGUAAACCACUGUCGAAGGGGAAGAUAUUGACGGUACCCUUGGAGGAAGCCCCGGCUAACUACGUGCCAGCAGCCGCGGUAAGACGUAGGGGGCAAGCGUUAUUCGGAAUUAUUGGGCGUAAAGCGCUCGUAGGCGGGACAGGAAGUCCGUGAAGAAAGACCUGGGCUCAACUCAGGGAGCGGCACGGAUACUCUUGUUCUUGAGGCAUUCAGAGGAUGAUGGAAUACCCGGUGUAGCGGUGAAAUGCGUAGAUAUCGGGAGGAACACCAGUGGCGAAGGCGAUCAUCUGGGGAUGUUCUGACGCUGAGGAGCGAAAG